GUGUUUUUCUUGCUUAUUUCGGAGCCACCUGCUUUGUCAUGGUGAAAUCUCUUAAUGUACCAAGUGGCACAGUCGAAACGCACGAUAAAUUGCCAAAAUCUCGUCAUGCAAUAUUGAGAUAAUAUUAGUUUUUUGUUGUUUGUGUUCAUGUAAGAUAUUAUCAAAAUCCUACCAUUUAGAUAGAACACAAAGUAUAUAAUUAUCUCAUUUCUUUUUUCUUCUUCAAUUAUGUAAAAUACAUGAAAAAUGAUGAAUAAAGGUAAAAGAAUUUUUUAAAAUUUUUAAAAUUUUUUUCAGAAUUCAUAUGGACAAAUUAAUGGAGAUAAAAAUAAGACUCGAAAAAACCUGUUUAAAUUACCCCGUUUUAACAGGAAAUAUAGAUUUUCUUUAUUUCCUUUUCUUUUUAUUUCUUCGUUUCUUCCCUUUUAUCGCCGAACCCCCCCCUCCCCCGCGCGCCUCUCUUCCUUUCCUAGCCGAAGCCCUCUCAAGCCCUAACCGUCGGCGGUUACUCCUUUCCCUCGCGUGCAUAAGGCCGGGACCAAGAGAAGCCGACAUUUUUCUUCUCCCUCUCCGCAGCCGAGCUACCUCGCGUGUGCCCUAGCACCGCCGGGUGCCGAUCCUCCUAAGCCCUAGCGCCGACAUUCAGUCCAUCUUCGCUGCGAGCCGCACACUCGACGCCUUCUUCUUCCUUUUCCCCGGCGACGAAUCUGCCUCCGCCGACCCACUGUCGCCCUUGUGUGCCGACGCCGCCGCCGCCGACUCUUGACCCGAGUAACACCGACCGCCUCCUCUCUGCCCUCUCCUGAUCAUGAGGGUUUCUGUCGUGCCGCCACAGUGAACCCUGCUCUGAUUUCUACAGCCAACGCCCUCUCCACAGUCCUCUGCCAUUGUUGACCUAGGGUUCCGGCGGCCAGUAUUGAGAUUAGGCAACGAGGUGUUUUCCAGAUAAGAGCUUGGAUCUUCUCCUCUGUUCUUGAUUAUUUCCUUCCUUGCGGUGGAUUUAGGUCACGGUUGAGCAAAGCUUUAAACUCCAGCAGCAAAACUUUAAUCAGUAGCUGCUCAUACUCGGUCCAGCAGCAACGAUCCUUGCUAUUGAGCCACAGCGACUGGGGUUGAGGACUUUGACGCGAGACGAGUAUCUCGACGUCAGAUUUAGACCAGAUUGGAUCCUUUCUUAU